UGGGGAAUAUUGCACAAUGAGCGCAAGCCUGAUGCAGCCAUGCCGCGUGUGUGAAGAAGGCCUUCGGGUUGUAAAGCACUUUCAGUCGGGAGGAAGGUGUCAAGGUUAAUAACCUUGGCAAUUGACGUUACCGACAGAAGAAGCACCGGCUAACUCCGUGCCAGCAGCCGCGGUAAUACGGAGGGUGCAAGCGUUAAUCGGAAUUACUGGGCGUAAAGCGCACGCAGGCGGUUGAUUGAGUCAGAUGUGAAAUCCCCGGGCUUAACCCGGGAAUUGCAUCUGAUACUGGUCAGCUAGAGUCUUGUAGAGGGGGGUAGAAUUCCAUGUGUAGCGGUGAAAUGCGUAGAGAUGUGGAGGAAUACCGGUGGCGAAGGCGGCCCCCUGGACAAAGACUGACGCUCAGGUGCGAAAGCGUGGGGAGCAAACAGG
rnacentral:rRNA from 1 species